rnacentral:sRNA from 1 species
GGGGAAGGAUGAGAAGCUUCAACCAAGGUUCGACUUGAGCGCCAGCGAGAGAGCGUUGCCGCAGGCAACGACCCGAAGGGCGAAGCGCGCAGCGCUGAGUAAUCCUUCCCCCACCACCA